rnacentral:rRNA from 1 species
CCCUUAGAUGUUCUGGGCGGCAUGCGCGCUACACUGAAGCUAUCAACACGUUUUCCCUCCCUGAGAAGGGCGGGUAACCCUUUGAAUCAGCUUCGUGGUAGGGAUCGGGGCUUGCAAUUGUUCCCCGUGAACCAGGAAUUCCUAGUAGACGCGAGUCAUAAGCUCGCAUCGAUUAAGUCCCUGCCCUUUGUACACACCGCCCGUCGCUACUACCGAUUGAACGUUUUAGUGAGGCAUUUGGACCGACGCAUCUCAGUUUAACCGCUGGUUUGUGUUGGAAAGACUUCCAAACUUGAGCGUUUAGAGGAAGUAAAAGUCGUAACA